rnacentral:sRNA from 1 species
ACACUGCCAGGUGUCCCAGAAGGGGCGCAGGUUCGAAUCCUGCAUGGCUCACUUAACCAAUUUCCACUGUUAAAUCACCAAACAGUACUGGAAGUCCCUGGGUUUGGAGGCAUUCGGGCGCUAAUUCUCACUGAUCUUGCGGGGCUAGAACCCCCCGGGCGCUUCAAGUUAGAUCAGUACUAGAUAGGUAUAUGAUGGGUGGAGCAACCCGCGGGAUAGCGAAUCAUUGUCAAGCUUAACCGGCCAGGGAUUCAUUGCACUGCCCCAUUCAGCCCCACUAAUCUAUCUAGGCAUCUCUAAAUUCCAGAGAAUAGAUUUAAAAACUAUCUGAUUAGAACACUCUGGGUCUAGUGAGGAUCUAGAUGAGAUGAGAUCUAAACACUCUUAAUAGAUGAUUAGUACAAGCAAGAUUGUGAUGAUUAAUUGAUAGACUGAAAUACUGAGAUUAGCAGCUGAAAGAUCAGAGACUUAACUAAAACUGAGUAGCUCUGAUAUUAUUCUUAGUGAAAAUCUUACUUAAAUAGACUAGUUAAAAACCUGAGUGAACAGUGAUAUUUUAGAGGGAAUGAUAAUCUCUAAUAAUGAUUCAAGAUGACAGAGAUGGCAGCUGGUUAUAUAGAGUAUUAAAAUAUAUAUCUAGCUUAAGAUAUAAACUGCAG